rnacentral:lncRNA from 1 species
UACUGUCCUCUUUCCUCUUCCCUCUGCAGUUUUCCUCUCUUCUCUUUCCCAAAGGCUCCCCUCAUGGCCUCAUCCAUGCCCCACCACCCCUGGCCGGCGGGAGCUGCUGCUCAUGGUGUGGGCGGCGACGCUGGUCCUGCCGGUGUUGCAAGAGCCGGUGGUUCUCCAACCCACCUCGCCGCUGCAGUCGUCGUUACUGUAGGCGAGGGGCGAGCUGCGUGCUCACCAGUGCUUCAAUAGAGACGCCGGGCGCGCUCGCCGGCGACGCUUGCUACAGAGCAACGCGGGGAAGGUGCGGUGCUGCAGUCGGCUGACAUAAGGCGGCGACGAGAUUUCGGCGAUGACGUCACUGCUGCAUCCCAUGCUUCGUCUCGACGCCGGUGUUACAACGAGCUUCGCCGGAGCAGUUGGUGCUGCAUUGGAGCUCGGACGGGGUUGCAACGGAGAUUCGCCAGAGCGGUUGGUGUUGCAUUGGAGCUCCGACGGGGCUGCAAUGGACUUCGCCGAAGACGUCGGUGCUGCGUUGGAGCUCGCCGGAGUUGCAAUGGAGCUUUGCCGGAGUCGUCGGUGCUGCGUUUGAACUCCGCAGGGCUGCAAUGGAGCUUGGCCGGACGCCGUCGGUGCUACCAUGCGAGCUACAAUGAAGCUUUGCUCUCUUUUUUUUUGAAAAAAAUACAAUGAAGCUUUGCUGAAUGCGAUCAGUGCUGCGUUGAAGCUGUCGUAGGCUCGGUGCUGCCCUGGGGUCGGUGCAAUCAGACGUCUAGAAUAAGUCCAAGGCAUACCCUCAAUCGUCCAAGGACCAAGCAAUCACACGAGGCACGACACCGAGAUUUGUUAACGAGGUUCAUCGAUAUGGCUAUAUCCCCGGGGCCUGAUUAUGGGCACUCCUCCCCAUGAUACCGCUACAAUACUGCACCCAGUCGCUCUGGACGCCGGCACAUGCCGUCGGUUUCCCCUGCGUUCCUGUGCUGUUAUGUUGUCAUAGGUUAUAUCGUGUGUCUACCCCCACUAUUUAUGAGAGGCUUAGAAUACAAAUAUCCUACUAGGACACGACUCCAUAUCCUAUCUAAACACCAAUACUACUCGGAGUCCAACUGUAACCUACCUCGUACACUAUAUUCGACACAACUCCAACAAACUCCACCUUGGCGAAUAUUCUCCACCACCUUGAAUUCAUCAAUGCGUCAAACUUCCACGUACAUUGGACUUGAAUUUAUCCCAUGAGUACCGCUGCUACUCCAAAGACUCCAUAUGACUCCACCUGCAACUUGCAGUCCCUUCUUUUCUUGACCACAGUCAACACUUGAGCAAAAUUAAGUUCCUUGUUACUCUAGUUUGUGCUCCCAACUUUCAGAGUAUCCGUCAACGCCAUCACACAUCGAUCACUGACCUGCGUGAAAGUGAACAACUCACAUAUUGGGUGUCACACAUAAGAGUUACCUGAACUCAACAUCACCGCUCCUUUCUUGACCGCCUGUCUGAAACUUGAAGGAAUUUUACCAUUGCUUGUAGUCAUCCCGAGUCAAAUUCGCAGUUGUCUCACCACAUGUAUGACCACCAGAGCCUUGGCCUGUCUCCAUGUCCCGUGCAUACCGCACGCUUCACUGCUGUUAUCGCGUCGAGCCUCUGCUGUCCCGGUCGAGUCUCAAGGGUUGCGAACCACACCACUCAACCCCACUGCAAAGUACCAUCGAUCAUCACCGACCGAUGACGAGUUUCACGCUUCCUUCAGACCACUGGGCUCCAGUCCGAACUAUGUGUCACUCGCUUUUUCCCCACCGCUGAAUAGGCUUCGACUCUCUGUGCACUUACGUCGUAGCCCCUCAAUCAGCACCGAGUGAAGUCUUCUGUCAGACCUUAGUUCCACCUUCAACAUGACUCCAUGGUAGAUAAUCAAUCCACCCUUGCGCCCCGUCGACUUCAAGCUCCGUGUGUACACCACCUUGAAUCAACCCCGCGCCAUAGUCUUGUCGAAGCCACACAAGCCCUCGGAGCCUGCGCCACAUGUUUCCAUGCCCAGAAGUCGGUCACCAUCAGCAUCACGCUCCUAUGUCGUUAUCGUCGAUCCCACCACCGUCUUCUGUACCAACCAACUUGCGUCGAUCCAUCAAACCGACAAGUCUGACCCAGCCGAACAUCUCCGACUGCAACCAUGCUCCACCCUGCAUCAUGACCGCUCGCACAUUUGUGCAUGUCUUGGAUGCCAUGUGUAUGCAUGAUCUUGCUCAGCACGCUCCAGACUCCUCGAAUCCUCAAGUGCGACUGCCAUCCAUACACAAACUGUGUACCAAACAAAAAAGAGACCAGAAGAUAAAGUCCCAUGUAGCCUUCAUGUGUGCACGUACCAGAGGAGAUCAAUGACACUAGUCAAACGCAAUCCAUCACACAUUCACACGUAGCUUCUGGGCAUAUAUUUCUUUCCUUUCUAGUAGCAAUCACGGUCUGAUUCUUGGUCCUUGUGCCAACUCUUUUGUCAAAACAAAUCUCACAUAUUACGCAGCCUCACGUCCAGCCAAGCAUCACGCUAGCUGCCGCCACUUCCUUUCGCACGCCUGGGCCUUGGGUCUCGUGACACGCGCCGCUGCCACUGAGAGUCUUAUUGUUACCCGUUGUGUUGCGUCGUCGCUAUGAUCAGACCUGGAGCACAGCAGACAGCCUAUACGCUUGCCCGACCGGUCCACCAACCGACCGCCGCACGUCUAGCUCCUGCUUCUUUUGAUCCAAUCUUGUCGACUCCCACUUCCCAAUUGCCUUUUCCAAUCUCGUCGAGAACCACAUCAAAACUGACUGCAUCUCGAACUCGAUACUUCCUCUAGAUAACAAUCCGCAGCCUUCGAACAACCUAGCUCUGAUACCACUUGUUGGAACAAGUCCAAGGCAUACCGUCAAUCAUCCGAGGACCAAGCAAUCACACGAGGCACGACACCGAGAUUUGUUAACGAGGUUCACCGAUAUGGCUACAUCCCCGGGGCCUGACUAUGG